rnacentral:piRNA from 1 species
UGAGGAAGGGUGUAAGAGGGCAAGG